GGGAGAGAGAGAGCGGCCUUCAGUGCAGCAGCAGCCAGGGCUUACAGUGGGCUCAGGGCCUGGGAUACAGGAAGGAGCUGUCAGCCUCCCAUAAACACGACUCAUCCUGCACCGAUGAUACAGAGGGCCUGGGGGUAGCGCUCCCCGGCCACCCCGCUGCCAACCCGCCGUUUUACACUGUGUGCUGCUAAGUUCUAGACUUGUGGAAUCCUACGGGGCUUUCCUUCAGGCGCCGGUCCCCGUCUGUGGUUAUCUUCUCUGCAUGUUUUCCUACACAGCAGUGAAGUACGCUGAUUUCAGGGGGCCGUUACGCUGUUUUUUCAAUGUGGUGCCGUGCCGAGAAAUAGAAACUCAACAGCAGAGGGAACGGACUAAAAGUAGCAGUUCUCAGGAGAAAUGAACACAGUUGGCAGACCUUUCACAGCAUCCCUCCCCACAUGACUUAAGCAAUAUUCCCAGAGCUUGGCUGGACUGGUCUCCCUGGCUGGGCUACUGCCACUCUCACCGGAACACUAAUGGGUGAUACAUGCCCCACAGCUCCGCCACUUACACCUAAGAUCAAAGCGUGGGGCAGGGGCAAGGUGAAGGAGGGGGGUGUUUUACGUUCUAGUGUCCCCCCCACCCCCUCUUUGACACCAACAUGAUAUGUCUGUCUGUGGG
rnacentral:lncRNA from 1 species